GUCAACAGUUCGAAUUGUAGCUACAGUGCUGCUAUCAUCAAGCUUACCAACAUACCCAAUUUUCGUCAAACGUGAGGUUGGACGAUUCUUUUUCAGCUCCUAUAUUCUUCAACUGAUUUUCUUGAUCCUCUUUCUCCUUGUAGAAUUCUUGGAGGGCCGCAAGAGUCGUACUUGACAAUUGGGGUACAUCAUCAUCGCUCUCUAACAUUUUCCAACAAUUAUUUGUUAAUGAAACGAACUCCGUACCGCAAGGAAAGGACCUCUAUGCGCCUGUUUCAAAGUUAGCUUCCACUGGAUCCCACUCUAAACUGUUUGGCGUUGAAACUCUGGACCAAGGUGAAGCUGUCAGACUAGAUGGUUGACUGUUAUUUGCUGAUGGCAAAGAAGUCGAAUUUUCAGUGUUUUCUGCAUUUACUUCACUGCGAGGAGACAAUGGAAAACCUGUAAGUAACGACCCAACAAUUUAUACGUUAUUCCAUGUUCAAAGAGAAUUGACAGAUGAAACGUGUCUAGGUAAUUCAUAUACCUUCAUGUUCCCAUUCCAAGUCUAGAGAUGAGGCAGGGGUAGGCAUGUAGCCUUGCUUCAUCAAAUUUCUGGCAUCUAAAGUUUGAAGUGAUGUAUCUAGGCCAGAACUGUUGAAAAAGAUAUAUUUAAAUCAACAGUUAGUCGAUGAUUUUCAUUGAUAAUUCAUAUUUCCUAUGAAGCAACAAAAUGAAUAUAGGG
rnacentral:misc_RNA from 1 species